rnacentral:snRNA from 1 species
GUGCUUGCUUCGGCAGCACAUACACUAAAAUCAGAAAGAUACAGAGAAGAUUAGCAUGGCCUCUGCACAAGGAUGAUGUACAAAUUUGUAAAGCAUUCCAUAUUUUU